UAACACAUGCAAGUCGAACGAACCUUCGGGUUAGUGGCGGACGGGUGAGUAACGCGUGAGAAUCUGCCCUCAGGAGGGGGAUAACGGCUGGAAACGGCCGCUAAUACCCCAUAUGCCGAGAGGUGAAAUGAAUUUCGCCUGAGGAUGAGCUCGCGUCUGAUUAGCUAGUUGGUAAGGUAAGAGCUUACCAAGGCAUCGAUCAGUAGCUGGUCUGAGAGGAUGAUCAGCCACACUGGGACUGAGACACGGCCCAGACUCCUACGGGAGGCAGCAGUGGGGAAUUUUCCGCAAUGGGCGAAAGCCUGACGGAGCAACGCCGCGUGAGGGAUGAAGGCCUCUGGGCUGUAAACCUCUUUUCUCAAGGAAGAAGACAUGACGGUACUUGAGGAAUAAGCCACGGCUAAUUCCGUGCCAGCAGCCGCGGUAAUACGGGAGUGGCAAGCGUUAUCCGGAAUUAUUGGGCGUAAAGCGUCCGCAGGCGGCCUUUUAAGUCUGUUGUUAAAGCGUGGAGCUCAACUCCAUUUCGGCAAUGGAAACUGGAAGGCUGAGUGUGGUAGGGGCAGAGGGAAUUCCCGGUGUAGCGGUGAAAUGCGUAGAUAUCGGGAAGAACACCAGUGGCGAAGGCGCUCUGCUGGGCCAUAACUGACGCUCAUGGACGAAAGCCAGGGGAGCGAAAGGGAUUAGAUACCCCUGUAGUCCUGGCCGUAAACGAUGAACACUAGGUGUCGGGGGAAUCGACCCCCUCGGUGUCGUAGCCAACGCGUUAAGUGUUCCGCCUGGGGAGUACGCACGCAAGUGUGAAACUCAAAGGAAUUGACGGGGGCCCGCACAAGCGGUGGAGUAUGUGGUUUAAUUCGAUGCAACGCGAAGAACCUUACCAGGGUUUGACAUCCUGCGAAUCCCUUGGAAACUUGGGAGUGCCUUCGGGAGCGCAGAGACAGGUGGUGCAUGGCUGUCGUCAGCUCGUGUCGUGAGAUGUUGGGUUAAGUCCCGCAACGAGCGCAACCCACGUCUUUAGUUGCCAGCAUUUAGUUGGGCACUCUAGAGAGACCGCCGGUGAUAAACCGGAGGAAGGUGUGGAUGACGUCAAGUCAUCAUGCCCCUUACAUCCUGGGCUACACACGUACUACAAUGCUACGGACAAAGGGCAGCAAACUCGCGAGAGCUAGCAAAUCCCAUAAACCGUGGCUCAGUUCAGAUCGUAGGCUGCAACUCGCCUACGUGAAGGAGGAAUCGCUAGUAAUCGCAGGUCAGCAUACUGCGGUGAAUACGUUCCCGGGCCUUGUACACACCGCCCGUCACACCAUGGAAGUUGGCCACGCCCGAAGCCGUUACUCCAACCCUUGUGGAGGAGGACGUCGAAGGUGGGGCUGAUGACUGGGGUGAAGUCGAAACAAGGUA
rnacentral:rRNA from 1 species